rnacentral:lncRNA from 1 species
GUUCGGGUGCAAGUUGACCUAAUUUGAUUAGACUUUAAUCUAGCCGAUUUAGAUCCAAUCGAGCUAACCCGAUUUCAGCAAUUAGAACUCUUUCUAAUUGACGAUUGAAUUAAACUCUUUAAUUCGAUCAGACCUACAAGUCAAGAUUAACAUCUAGCAACAUAUUAUGACUAUCCAAAAGAUAUAAAAUUUGAUAAAAAUAUCAAAUAUAUCCUUCAGUGGUAAGUUACCGUGCAAUUCAAUCCUUCGAUCAUCCCUGCACCUUGAAUAUAUUCAUGAGUAUGAAACCAUGUCAAACUCAAAUAUAUAUUCAUAUCAAUUUUCAAUUAACCAAUGAUAACUCCAAUGAAGAAGUAUUAGAAACUCUUUCUAAUCUCCUUCCUACUUUUGGCCAAAAGAUUUUUUCUGAAUCAUCUAGGAAUGAGAAUACACAAGAUGCGAUCUCCUCUUACUAAGAGUGAUCGAUUCCAUAUUGACCCACUCACAACCUUCAUACACACUCCACCA